rnacentral:rRNA from 1 species
AACGAACGCUGGCGGCAGGCUUAACACAUGCAAGUCGAACGCAUCCUUCGGGGUGAGUGGCAGACGGGUGAGUAACGCGUGGGAACGUGCCCUUCAGUUCGGGAUAACCCAGGGAAACUUGGGCUAAUACCGGAUACGUGCGAGAGCAGAAAGAUUUAUCGCUGAAGGAUCGGCCCGCGUCUGAUUAGCUAGUUGGUGGGGUAAUGGCCCACCAAGGCGACGAUCAGUAGCUGGUCUGAGAGGAUGAUCAGCCACAUUGGGACUGAGACACGGCCCAAAAUCCUACGGGAGGCAGCGGUGGGGAAUAUCGGACAAUGGGCGCAAGCCUGAUCCAGCCAUGCCGCGUGAGUGACGAAGGCCUUAGGGUUGUAAAGCUCUUUCGUCCGGGACGAUAAUGACGGUACCGGAAGAAGAAGCCCCGGCUAACUUCGUGCCAGCCGCCGCCGUAAUAC